rnacentral:rRNA from 1 species
GUCUAUGGCCACACCAUCCUAAACAAGCCCAAUCCGGUCUGAUCUCGGAAGCUAAGCAGGGUCGGGCCUGGUGAGUACCUGGAUGGGAGACCACUUAGGAAGACCAGCUGCUGUAGUCG